rnacentral:lncRNA from 1 species
AUGGCAGGAAGAACUUCCAGGGGCGGGUCGCAGGCUCCUUGCAGGGCCCGGGCCGAGGCGCUGGGUGUCCCCUAUCCGGGCCCGCCGCCGCCGCCUCGGGUCGCGGUGCCCGCAGCUCCGUGGCCGUCCGGGCCUGGACGCGCGCGCUCGGCCGCGGUUCUGGCCCCGGCAGAGGCAUUGCCUGGCAGUGGAGACGAGACUCCGGUGAAGCCGGAUCAUAAUCCGAGAUCGCAGAGCUCCUUCAGGUUAGCGAUGGACUGAGAACCAGGGCCUUACGCACGUGUAUCAGUUUCAGGAUAUUUCAAGAUUUUUAUUUUCAAGUAAUUUCUACACCAAACAUGGGCUUGAACUUACGACCACGAGAUCAAGAGUAGCAUGCUGUACCAACUGAUCCAGCCAGGUAUCCCUAUUUCAAGAAUGUUAGUUUGCCAUUGUCCAGGAUUUUUAGAUGAGAAAAAGGGUAAAUAUAAAAGAAAAAGCAAAUUCCCCUCGUCACAUCUGGAAAUUUUACAUUUUUCCUUAUAAGCCCUUCCAUCAAGAAUUAUUUAAAUAAAGACAUUUUGAUCAUUUACAUGUGUGCUAAUUUCAUUCACACAGGAAUCUUGGGGCAGGAGCCAGGAGGGCUGCUUCCCAGGACCUCUUUUGAUCCUGAUGGGAUGUCUACAGAUCCAGAUCACACGCUGAUUGGAGCCCAGCUCUAUGGUUGGGGUGGGGAAGGUGGGUAGAGUAGAACCGCAGAGAAACUAAAGAUGUAGGAACUGUUCCUUGGCUAAACUCAGAAGAAUUGUUCAAGCAGAAAGAUAUCCUACUUAACCAGAUUCUCAGAUCCCUGCCUCAUUGUAUAUCCACUCCCCGACUCACCCAGAUUUUAAGGCUGACUUUGUAUGAGGCUAAAAUUGGCACUCCUUUGUCCCUGGUCAGCUUGAACACUUCUAACCCAACCCUGCCCAGGACCAAAGAAGAGGAGAGCUCUAAAUUCCUACCGCUAGUAGGUCCCAAGGGUAGCUCAGGAUCAGAGCUUUGUCCCCGGCCCUUCACCCUUCACUCUUCUCCCUUCUCCAGCUCCAUACCUUUAUCAGAGUACUAAUGGGAGAGAAAAAGGACUUCCUCACAUAUGCACCCUCCCUCUCCUCUUGUAAUUCUGUCUACUAUUGAGAAAGGGCACAAAACAUUUAUGAAAGGCCUCUAAAAACAACAUUUAUUGUCUUAUUAGGGACUACAUGAAGAGACAAGUUCCCAGGCUGAUCCUUCAGCUUUCCUAAGGCCAUAUGGUCCUAAGGCCUCAUGGUUCAAAAGUAGCAUGUAUCCAGGGUGGGGUAGGGGAGGACAGCAUCAUUCUGGAGGUCUCCACCACCACAGAUCUCCAGUCUCUGGGGUGUGUGUCCAGAGCUGGAUGGAUGUGGCUAAGAGCCAGCCAUGGCAGGUAGCUGUCCAGUGUUCUGUAGUACCAUGUUCUCUGGGGGCUGUCUGACUCCUUUUGGCUCGUGGAUGAUGGCUCCUAUGCAGACAGAUCUAAGUCUGGCUCCAAAGUGUUCUGGGUUCCAGAUGAGUGGCUGUGUUGAGGGCAGGUGUGGCUCAGUAGCCCACACAGACUAGAAAGUAGUUCCCAGUUGAAAUAUAUACUGUCCCACCAGGGCUCCCCCAGCUUAGGGUAGAAAGGGAGAGGCCAUGGCCCCAAAUCUUUUGAGCUCAGAGGCAAAGGCAGUGGGGGUUCUAGCACCACCUCUGCAGAUUCCCAAGCCUUCUUCACACAGUGGCAAAAAGGCUGGUCCAUGACUUCCACCUCUGAAUCUGGAGAAAUGGAGUGUCUAGACGGAGAGAAGAGGCAAAGGACUGAGCUUAGCAUGGAGCUUUUUUUUUUUUUCCGAGGACAUGAUUGCUACGUUUAAUUCAAUGGUUAUACCCAAUCCUGUCUUGUAAAACCAAAACACCCCUAUCAAAACUACAUUGUGAUGUGAGUACAGGUUUCUCGUUUUUGAUACAGCUCUAGAAAAAAGUUGGCACCAAAUGCACAUUAAAAGAAGUUUUAAGGCUUAAUAAAAAUACAGACUAAGGAUUCCAAAAUGCAGCUUAGAGGUUGAGAACAGGAUGCUGAGUUAAUGAACCUUCCAAAUACAGGCAGUCCCCGGUGUAUUGAGCAUUUCCCAAAUAUAAAUGGGCUCACAGGAGUAGGAAGUCCUCUCCUGCUUCUCUCAGUGACCAGGCUACCAGGCACCUAAACCCACUUCUACAGCUCGGGGGAGGGAAGGGCGGGGAGAGCAGGAAGGGAGGGCACCCGUCUGUACUGUGCAGAGACUCCUGCUCAGUUCCCCUGUGCCUCCAUCCCUACUUCUAGCAUGGGACUUCAUAUACUGUUUGGUCUCUUGUGCAGUCCCAAAUUACAGUGCAUUAGGUAGGGUGGUGACAUUACUUUGAGACAAAUUGUUUCAGAAGGCUGAGUCUGAUGAUGUUAAGUCAAAAGUAGAAUCAUAUUGAUCCCAAUUCUAUAAAGUUUGUAUAUAAAGUUUGUACUAUAAAGUUUGUAUAAAAAGUUUGUACUAUAAAGUUUGUAUAUAAAGUUUGUAUAUAAAGUUUGUACUAUAAACUGGUAUCAGUGAUUAAUAGGGUUAAAGUUAAAAACAAGAAAGAUCACAAAUGGGGUUACUCUGUGUGAAAAACCAGAUACAUUCUGUGUCCUUUACAUAUGUGAUAUUGGAUAUUCUCAUCAUCACCUGAAAUUAGAGCACAGGCUUUGCUAGAGUGGAGGUGAAAACCUGGGUCUCCAGAGAGAUUUCUGUAGGGGGACUGGUUUGGAGAGGCGGUAAGGACCAAAGUGAUUCAUCAAUUCUCCAGUCUUGAUUUGAACUCUCAACUUCCUGCUUUGGUCCUCUACUUCUGGAUUCCUAAAUGACAACCGAGAGGAGAGAGAGACAAAAGAGCUUUAGAUAUCAAAAGAUUACAUGUUUUGGGUUCCAAUUCUUAUUUCAACCUUUACCAAGUGUAUAUAAUUAUUAAACUAAGUUGCUCUUUUAAAAGAUUUUAUUUAUUCAUGAGAGACACAGGCAGAGGGAGAAGCAGGCUCUGUGCAGGGAGCCGGAUGCGGGACUUGAUCCCAGGUCUCCAGGAUCAGGCCCUGGGCCAAAGGCAGGCCCUAAACCGCUCAGCCACCUAGGGAUUCCCCUGCCAGUUGCUUUUUUUAAACUGUGAAGGGAGGACAAAAAAUACUGAUUUCAAAAGGCAGCUGUGAGGAUUUAAUAAAAUAUUGGUAAGGUGACAGUUCCUGACACACAACUAAUAACCUUUG